rnacentral:tRNA from 1 species
GCAGGUGUGGUGGAAUGGCAGACACGCUAUCUUGAGGGGGUAGUGGAUUUUAUUCGUAUGGGUUCAAGUCCCAUUACCUGCACCA